AUAGUGAAAGACGGUUUUGCUGUCACUUAUAGAUGGACCCGCGGUGUAUUAGCUAGUUGGUGAGGUAACGGCUCACCAAGGCAACGAUACAUAGCCGACCUGAGAGGGUGAUCGGCCACACUGGGACUGAGACACGGUCCAGACUCCUACGGGAGGCAGCAGUAGGGAAUCUUCCGCAAUGGACGAAAGUCUGACGGAGCAACGCCGCGUGAGUGAAGAAGGUUUUCGGAUCGUAAAACUCUGUUGUAUAGGGAAGAACAA
rnacentral:rRNA from 1 species